CACCGCCGCACCUGCGGGCUCUCGCCCCGGCGUCUGCGGGACCCGAGGGCUCUGAGCGCGCUGCCGCCCUCCCGCGCCGCCCUCGCACACGCAGAUCCCACUUUUAAAGAAUCCGAAGCGGUGCAGCCCAUCGACACCGAGCGCAGCCGGUUGUGCUUGUUCUCUCCCCGUCUGCAGUUGAGCCCGGACCCUGGAAUAGAAAGACAGUUCUCCGUUGGACUGGCAGAAAGGGAAGGCAGACUCCUCGGUUCCCGAGGAGAGCGGAGCGGCUGCUCUAUUGUUUCCAAAUGGAUCACAUGUCAUAAGUUGAAACAUGGAUCUAGAGAAAGCCUUCAAGACAUAGGUAAACUCUGACAUUUUAUAAGACUAUUCCCUCUGGAAAUAAGACUAAUAACUGGUAAACAGGACCUUGUAAAGUUAAAAUGCCUCUACAUGGCAGGCAAAACAGUGACCAGAAUGCAGAGGCAGCCUAGAGAUUGAGAGAAAAUAUUUGUUACCUCUACAUGUAACAGGGGAUUUUUUUUUGGUUUUUUGAAAAGGGUUUCUCUGUGUAGCUUU
rnacentral:lncRNA from 1 species